GAGAGAAAGAAGCCCACACCAAGGGUUGUCCCAGGCUCCCGGUGUGUUUGCUACUGCUUGCUGCACAGAGUUCCGACAGGGUCCUCCCUUAACAAGCAAAGAGGAAAAUCAUCUCUGUUGCGAUGCCAGUGUGACUCGGCAAAGUUGCAUCUAGCGUGCGCGUCUGUCCUGGCUGAGGGGGGCUGAGAGAGGCUUUGCUGCCCUUUUCCCCCUUGAAUACGAGUUUCUCGUGACUUUCCACCACCCUGAACUCACAAUGAUCCGUCAAGGACCUUCUCCUAUUUCCCUCCCAGCACCAUCCUAAUUUCCUCCCUUCAGUGGCUUCUCUCCUCUUCAUGAUCACUUUAUCCCUUCCUGGACCAGAGGAAAUAAUGAGAGACAGUGCCUCCUCCGCUGAAAAUCCACAGCCAGGCAUGGACCCCUCCCCACCACCUCCUACUAUGGUACUUAAAGACCUCACCAUGAAAAACUGGAUUGCAUAAAGGACUGCUCCUGGACAGAGACCCCUGGCUUGUUAUAUUUGCACAACUGGACAGUUUUCAUGGCAUAGAUUGGAUGGACUCUGUCAGUGACAGGAGGCAAUGUCCCUCCUGAAGGAGGGAAGGGAGUCUCUUCACUAGCAAAUACUCCAGCCAUUGGGGAAAAAAAAAAGAUCCUGUGAUUCCAACCAUGGAACUGCUACUCAAAACAACUACAAGAAAGAGGAAGUAGAGACCACGCGAGGUAUUUCCGUGUAAGACUGUUCCACCUUGAGAAAAGAAGCAAAAUGUGGAAAUGGGUCCUUCGCUGGAGAAUGGAUUAAAGAGUCUUUGGUCUCUUUCUGAAUUGUGCUACUUAAUUUAUCAUCACCACCAUCAUCAUCAUCUUUGUUGUCAUCAUCUCCAUCACCCGUGCUUCCUACAUGCCAGAAGUGUUGUGUUCCCUGGUUGAUCUCAUUUAAUUCUUCUGACAGCAAUAUGAGGCCUUGGCAGCUAUGCAGAGCAUUGCAGUGAGAAGCUGCUGUCUUGGGGGAGCUUUACUGCUUUUGGAGAUUUAAUACUGAUCUUGAACUUGAGGUGUGUCUGCAUGAACUUCUAUGCACCAGAAACUUUCAUUUCAAUGCUGAAAUGUGGGGUAAGAUUUUGGUGAAAUUUUAAACAAAUUUAGGGAACUACCUUAAGUAAAUUCAACCAGGUAUCACAUGCAGUCUUACUUUGGAAUUGUGAAAAAAAAAUAAUAAUAAGAGUGGAAAUAUGGAAAGAGAAUGCAAUAGCUACAACAGCAUAAACAUUGACUAUUAAGAAUCAAAAUAAUAUUCAUAAAAAAUAUUCAUUAAGUUAGGUGUCAACAUUUGUAAGAAAUGCACUGUUCCUGGCUUCGAGGUGGAAGAAGGCCGCCACAAGCUAAGGAAUGUGGGCCGCAUCUAGAAGCUGGAAAAGGCAAGAAAACAGUCUCCUCUAGAGCCUCUAGAAGGAAUACAGUCCUGGUGACACCUUGGUCUUGGCCCAGUGAGACCCAUAUCAGAUUUCUAACCUACAGAACUAUAAGAUAGUACAUUUAUGUUUUCUUAAGCCACUAGGUGUGUAAUCAUUUGUUACAACAGCCACAGGAAAGGAAUGCAUGUAUGGUUCUCUACAUUUUUGGUCUCUGCAGAGACAGGGUGGAUGGGGCCAGGAGACUAGCUCUGGCACUUAGAAUGGGGGAUGGGUGUGAUUUGCCCCCUACCUGGGCAAUGUGCCAUGACCUCUCUCUCUGGUGGUUGGACAGCUGAAUGCAGAGGGUCAGUAGAGGGUCAAGGAGGCUCUAGUGGAUGGCAGAGUCGCUGUUUGCAAGGAGCCUUGAAUCUGAAGUCACCACUUGAAAGAGUGUUGCCUCUGGGAGCUGCCCCAACCAAAUGCAUGAGUCUUAAUCCCCUGAGUUCCCAGAGUUCAUUUUUCCCUGCAGCAGAGCUGCUUCUAGUCUAACUCCAGAAUCUCCAAAUCAGAUUAUUUUUUCUUUUUAAAAAAUUUUUAAAGAGUUUUUUUUCUUUUUUUUUUUUUUAAGGGAUCAAACUUCUACAUGGGCAAAGUCAGAACUUUGUUGGGCUUCCUUAGCCUUAGUUUGUAAUUCAGUCUUUUUAAAACUUCACGUAGCACAUGGAGAGCAUUGUAAUCAAAUUUCUAUACUUAGGGCUUGUGACGGUCUUAAACCAGUGCUACUUUCUUGGCCACGGAGGCACCCACAGCCUCACAGUGCAGACAGACAGCUCAUUGGUCUCUUACAGGCUCUUCUGGCCUUUUCCUAAAUAUGCUCUCCAGUGCCAUAAAUUUCUACUUUGUCCAGAGAUUCCUUUUUCUUGGAAUAUGUACCCCACCCCUUCCUUUAAGCUCAGCUCAAUUCCAUCUCCUUCAAGAUGCCUUUCUAGAUUCUCCAAGGAAUAUGAAUUUCCUUCCUCCAUGAUUCCCUGUGUUCUUUCGUAAUACUUAUUAAUGGAUCCCUGUCCUCUCUACCCAAGUACACACACAGGCACAUCCUAAAAUGUAGCUUCUAGAAGGCAAAUAUCAUCCCAGGCUCACUGUGGUCCUUCACCAUAAGAUAGUGCUCUAGGGCAGUAAAUGCUCUGUGCAUUUGCAAAUUUUAGUAAAACCUCUGUGGCUGGUGGAAGAGUUUUGUUUUGUUUGUUUAAGCAGACAGGAUCACGUGGUGCCUUUUAUAUUAUCAUAUAGGACUGGUCCAUUUAUAUAGAGCAAGGGUCCCCCAAGAUUCCUUGUUCAUCAAAAUCUGAAUGACUAAACCAGGCACUGUGCUAAAGGGCCGGAGCACCACGUACCCUGUGGAACUAUCAAAUGUCACCCACUAGGACAGCUGCAAACCACAUAUAGAGUGUACCUACUACGUACCAGACUUUGGGCAGGUGAUCGACAUCAGCCUGAGCCUCUGGCCAGUCCUUCACUUUCUAGGACUUCUUCCCUUUCAGGGAAAUUUGGCCUCCCAGCAUCUGGGGAACAAGCUGCUUAUUUGCUAAUAUCUGUUUGCACAUCAGGGUUUUUUACUUUUAGGAACAGUUUGUCUCUCUGGCAGAUCUCCGUGUUCCCAUACCGUUGUUUAUGAUGUAACUAAGCAUCUAUCGUAUAGAAUUGAACUCAAUUCUCUUUUGAAACUGCAAGAGAUCUAACCCGCUCAUUUUCUUUCCAUUUAACAUACGAGAGGGGUGUGUAGGAGCAGUUUAUUAAGGGGGAGCUGUUUAUUGAAGGAUCCUGGGGCUAAUCCCAGCCCAUUAUUUCUCCAUUUCCUUACAGCUCACUGAGAAGGGUGGGAGAGAACAGGAACGGGGAGACUAUUCUUUCCUGAGUGAUUGUUUGGCCAAUCCACAGGGAUCCUGACUUUCCUACACCCAUCAGGGAAGUAGCAUCCAGAGGGUCAUUCCAGGGACAGGGCUGGCUGUGUCAGGCUGUAAUGAAUGGUUCAGACUGAGAGGUGGAACUUGGCCAACAACAGGGAAAGACAAUAAUCAUUGGAAAAUUUAGGCAUUGAGAAUAAGAUCCAUGUCUGUCUUAUGUCCCCUGGGUACCAACACAAUGACUUGGCUUAGUAACUGUCCCAUAAUGUUUAAAUUAUGUUCAGUGAAUGAGUGAAUGAAUGGAUGCCGUAUUCUUGCUUCCUUCUCCAAACACUCUUUAUAAAAUUACGGCAUCUCAUUCAUGUCUCCUCUAUAAAUCGGGAAUUUGGUGAGGCAUGCUGUUUAUUGCUUAGGAAUCAUUUUACUUAAUCACAAAGGUCCCAGGGGUUCAGGCGGAAAAAAAAAAAAAAAAAAAAAAAAAACAGGUUUGGGAGAAAGAGUAGGAUAGGAUCUUCCUAGAGACUUUUCUUUCUUUUCUUUAAUGGGCGCACCCAUGGAAGAUGGAAAUUCCCAGACCAGGUAUUGAAGCCCAGCCUCAGCUGUGGCCAGAUCCUUUAACCCACUGCACCAGGCUGGGGAAUGAACCUGUACCUCGACAGUGACCCAAGCUGCUGCAGUGGGAUUCUUAAUCCAAGGUGUCACAGCACAGUGAGGCUAGAGCCCCACUUCAACUCCUAUAGAGUUGAAAGCUCUAUAGGAGUUUCUGUCAUGGCUCAGUGGUAACAAACUCUACUAGUAUCCACGAGGACGCUGGGUUUGAUAAGUGGGUUAAGGCUCUGGUGUUGCCGUGAGCUGUGGCGUAGGUCACAGACACGGUUCAGACCUGCUGUUGCUAUGGCUGUGGUGUAGGCUGGCAGCUACAGCUCCAAUUCGACCUCCAUCCUGGGAACUUUCAUAUGCUGCAGGU
rnacentral:lncRNA from 1 species